UUUGCGUCGAAGGUAUACCGGUAAGGAGUGCUGGAGCGAAUAGAAGUGAGCAUGCAGGCAUGAGUAGCGAUAAUUAAUGUGAGAAUCAUUAACGCCGUAAACCCAAGGUUUCCUACGCGAUGCUCGUCAUCGUAGGGUUAGUCGGGUCCUAAGUCGAGUCCGAAAGGGGUAGACGAUGGCAAAUUGGUUAAUAUUCCAAUACCAACAUUAGUGUGCGAUGGAAGGACGCUUAGGGCUAAGGGGGCUAGCGGAUGGAAGUGCUAGUCUAAGGUCGUAGGAGGUUAUACAGGCAAAUCCGUAUAACAAUACUCCGAGAACUGAAAGGCUUUUUGAAGUCUUCGGAUGGAUAGAAGAACCCCUGAUGCCGUCGAGCCAAGAAAAGUUUCUAAGUUUAGCUAAUGUUGCCCGUACCGUAAACCGACACAGGUGGGUGGGAUGAGUAUUCUAAGGCGCGUGGAAGAACUCUCUUUAAGGAACUCUGCAAAAUAGCACCGUA
rnacentral:rRNA from 2 species